GACGAACGCUGGCGGCGUGCUUAACACAUGCAAGUCGAACGGAAAGGCCCUGCUUUUGUGGGGUGCUCGAGUGGCGAACGGGUGAGUAACACGUGAGUAACCUGCCCUUGACUUUGGGAUAACUUCAGGAAACUGGGGCUAAUACCGGAUAGGAUCUCCUGCUGCAUGGUGGGGGUUGGAAAGUUUCGGCGGUUGGGGAUGGACUCGCGGCUUAUCAGCUUGUUGGUGGGGUAGUGGCUUACCAAGGCUUUGACGGGUAGCCGGCCUGUGAGGGUGACCGGCCACAUUGGGACUGAGAUACGGCCCAGACUGCAACGGGAGGCAGCAGUGGGGAAUAUUGCACAAUGGGCGGAAGCCUGAUGCAGAAACGCCGCGUGCGGGAUGACGGCCUUCGGGUUGUAAACCGCUUUCGCCUGUGACGAAGCGUGAGUGACGGUAAUGGGUAAAGAAGCACCGGCUAACUACGUG
rnacentral:rRNA from 1 species